rnacentral:lncRNA from 1 species
CUUUAAAAAUGAGAGAGAGAGAAAGAAAGACUUUCUCAGACAAACAAAAACGGAGGGAAUUUACCACCAGUCGGCCUACUCUGCAAAAACUGUUAAAAGCUGUUCAGAGAGAAGGAAAAUGAUACAGCUCAGACAUUUGGAUCCACAUAAUCAAAGGAAGAACGUCUGAGAAGGAUUCUAGGAAGAAAAUAAGCAGUGAUGUGAGAGAGAGAAAGAGUAGCAGAGGACUGAGGGCCUACGCAGAUAGCGUGACUCUGGAGGAGGAAACGUGGGAGCUGAGGUCCGAAGGAGGAGAAGAAGCCAGCCUCGCCCAGAGCAUCCCAGGAAGAGGAAGUGCAAAGUGUUGGAGGACCUGAAAGAACAGGGAGGCUGGAGAGCAGUGAACAAGAGAGAUGCAGGAAAGAAAACUGGAACAGGAGUGAAAAGACUGAAUUCUUAUGCCAGCUGUGUGAUCUCAGACUGCAGUUUGAUGAGUUUGGACUAACGCAUACCUGCUGUGCCCACCACCACAAGCAAGAGAGAACAUUUCCAUGACCUCCAAAGUCCCUCAUGCCCCUUUUACCAUCAAGCCCUUCUCACAUCCAUGACCCUAGGCACUACUGCUCUGCUUUUGAUCAUGACCAUUUUGCCUUUUCCAGAAUCUCAUAUAAAUGAAAUCAUACACUGUGUAGUCUUUUGUGUCUGUUUUACUUAUGACGUUUCUGAAUUCAUCAACGUUUUACUUAUGAUGUUUCUGAAUUCAUCCACGUUGUUGCGUGUAGCAGUAGUCUUCCAGUGAAUGAGUAUGUCACAAUUGGUUUAUCCAUUAACCAAUUGAUGGGCACUUGGGAUGUUUCCAGUCUGGGGCUAUUAUGAAUAAAGCUACUGAGAAAAUUCAUGUAACAAGUAAAUCUUUGUGUAGACAUGUUUUAAUUUCUGUUGGAUAAAUAUGUAAGAAUGGGAUUUCCAGGUCAUAUAGUAACUUUAUAAGAAGCUGCCAAACUGUUUUCCAAAGUGGCUGCAUCAUUUUUGCAUUCCCACCAGCAAUGUAGGAAAGUUCCAGCAGCUCCACAUCCUUAUCAACACUUCUUAUUGCCAGUCUCUAAUUUUGGCAUUCCACUGAAUGUUUAACGAUAUUUCACUCUGGUUUUCAUUUGCAUCUCCCUAAUGACUAAAUAAUGUUGAGCCUCUUUUCAUGUGCUUAUUUGUCAUUCAUUUAUUUUCUUCGACGAAGCGUCUAUCUAAAUCUUUCGUAUUUUUCAAAAGAUGGAGUCAUUUGUCUUCUUAUCAUUUAAUUUUGAGUUCUUUUUUGGACACAAAGCUUUUAUUAGCCACAUGUUUU